GUGGCGGACGGGUGAGUAAUGUCUGGGAAACUGCCUGAUGGAGGGGGAUAACUACUGGAAACGGUAGCUAAUACCGCAUAACGUCUACGGACCAAAGUGGGGGACCUUCGGGCCUCAUGCCAUCAGAUGUGCCCAGAUGGGAUUAGCUAGUAGGUGGGGUAACGGCUCACCUAGGCGACGAUCCCUAGCUGGUCUGAGAGGAUGACCAGCCACACUGGAACUGAGACACGGUCCAGACUCCUACGGGAGGCAGCAGUGGGGAAUAUUGCACAAUGGGCGCAAGCCUGAUGCAGCCAUGCCGCGUGUAUGAAGAAGGCCUUCGGGUUGUAAAG
rnacentral:rRNA from 1 species